ACGACUCCUCUCCCCUCUUCCUCUUCAACAAGCCAGAGCUGCUAAAUAAAAACCCUAUACCCCGCCUGCCGCCGCCGCCGCCGCCGCCAUCAUCUCCUCCUCCCAUUUCCCCCUUCCGACGAAAACCCUAGCCAGCCAUGGCGUGGCGAGGCCCCGCCACCCGGGCCGUCCUCGCCGCCGUCCGCCGCCCGGCCGCGGCGCCCGCGGCCGCACGCCUCCACGCCCCGCGACCGUUCGCGGCCCCGCGCCGCCGCGUCCCGUCCGCCUUCGGCACCUCCUCCUCCCCGCUCCCGUCCGCGCGGCCUCUGGCGGCGUUGAUGGGGUCCCCGGUGACGGUGGCCGCGGUGAUGGCGCGUCUCACGGCGCACCCCGGUGCCAGCGCGCGGGCGUGCUGCGAGCUCUCCCAGGGGAGUGGGAAAGAUGGUUGAUGCUGGAGGCUCUGCACAACUUGAUGGGGACCUUCCGACCUAGAAUGAUGAAAUGGAAAAGAUGGGUGAUGCAAGAGAGGCCAUUGUAGAGCCUGCCAAAGGUGCUGAUUUCAAGCAUGUACUCCUUUGGUACUUGAAGUUGUUGUGUAGAUCCCAUCCUUUCGAAAGGAUAAAAAUGUGUCUUUGGAAAAGCUAUUGUGGCAUUUCUUCCACUGCAAAGUUAGAAGAAUUUACCCACCAAUAGCCAGUUUCCUCGUUAGGAUCUUAGAAUAGACUGAAAUAAUCUUAAAUGUUACAUGGCAUGGUUUGUGCACAUGGAUUUAUCUUCCCUCUUUUUGGUACGUGAUAUUAUACUACCAUCUGCAGAGAUUCUUUGGUGUCAAGUUUCAGUUGACCUGAGCUAAAUGAUAGUGUUACCGUGCCUUGUUUACUUUUGCAUGAGGUGUUAACUUAA